UCCUUGGUAGCUCAGCUGGUAGAGCGAACGAUUGUUAAUCGUUAGGUCGGUGGUUCGAGUCCACUCCCAAGGAGCCA
rnacentral:tRNA from 1 species